rnacentral:rRNA from 1 species
AAUGUAAUUCAUACAAUGUUAAUGCACCGGAUCCCAUUAUAACUCUGAAGUUAAGCGCGCUUAGGCUAGAUUCGUACUAGGAUGGGUGACCUCCAUGAAAGUCCUAGUGUUUUACAUGC